rnacentral:tRNA from 1 species
GGAGAGGUGUCCGAGCUGGCCGAAGGAGCACGAUUGGAAAUCGUGUAUACCGCAAAACGGUAUCGAGGGUUCGAAUCCCUCUCUCUCCG